UGCACAGGUGCUGCAUGGCUGUCGUCAGCUCGUGUCGUGAGAUGUUGGUUAAGUCCGCAACGAGCGCAACCCUUAUCCCUAGUUGCCAUCAGGUAAAGCUGGGAACUCUGGGGAGGACUGCCGGUGAUAAACCGGAGGAAGGCGGGGAUGACGUCAAGUCCUCAUGGCCCUUACAUCCCGGGCUACACACGUGCUACAAUGGCAGGUACAGAGGGCUGCGAAGCCGCGAGGUGGAGCGAAUCCCAGAAAACCUGUCUCAGUCCGGAUUGAAGUCUGCAACUCGACUUCAUGGAGGCGGAAUCGCUAGUAACCGCGAAUCAGCAGGUCGCGGUGAAUACGUUCCCGGGCCUU
rnacentral:rRNA from 1 species